CAGGCCAACCCACAACAGAUAUCGGAUAGUAGAACAUCCAUACCACUCUUAAAGCUGAAAGUCUGCAGUUCAACUGCAUCUGAGUUGUUUCAUUUAAAAUUCAUUGUGGUAAUGUACAGAACCAAAAUUAGAAAAAAGUUGUCUCUUAUGCCUUGCUGUUUUGUCUCUAAUUCAAGAUUGCUGUGCUUUAAGUAGUUUGAGACAAUCAACAAACAGCAAAUGGGCGAAUCAAAGAUUUAUAAGCUUUUCUGCAGAUGGCUUUUGCAAAACAAGGGCAUUACCAGCUAGGUGUCUGUCUUGAGUUUUUAGUAUGCACUAUUGUUUUCUUGUGUGGAAAUGUAUUAAACUGCAGUAUUGUUAUCCAUUGGGUGACCUGACUCAAUUGUGUUAAAUGUUAAGGAAUCAAUCGCUUUUGGAUUGCAAGUUAUUGUACACACCCCACCUAUUUUGGGCUUUAAGACACUGAGAAGAAACCAAUGUUGUUGAUGAGAAAAUAUUCAUGCUUUUAAUAAAAAUAGAUUUGGUUAUGCUUAUUCUUUUAAUAUAAAUCAUAUGUUGGUCAACAGAGGUGCUAAAAUGUGUUUGUGCAAUUGCCACUGCCAGCCACAUAUAAGUUUACAAAAUAAAAAUCUGAUAUCUGAAUGGUUACUAUAAGUAUCUGCACCUACUAAUAUAGGUCUCCGUAGCUGCUGUUGUCCAAUACUCAACUGCCUUCAGUGUGAAGUAUAUACACAUAAUUUGUUUUAAUACAUUCCCAGGGAAAUCCAUCUUCACAAUGUCCUGGAAGCUCCACUGACAAUUGCCUUGUAAUCCAUGAGAUCCCAAGUGCUGAGGAAAGAACCUUUGAACACCUUCCCAAGCAGUUGCCUAAAUCCAGCCUAGAAAACCUCCAUGAUACACAGCAGGUGAUUCUAAUGGAUGAGACUGAUGUGAAUCUUCAGCUGGAGGUGGAAGAAUCUCAUUACCCAAGCAGCUCUUUCCUGGCACAGGACCAGGUUGUGAUCCCAAAUGCUUCCUUUCCAGUGACAGAUCAGUCCAUAAUUCCCAGCAAUUCAUUUAUAGUAGAAAAUUCCUUUAAUCCUAAUAGCUGUACUGCUGAUGAGGAGUUGGCUCUUGAUUUGGUACAAGACAGCGCUCCUGAGGACCCUGAUAGUGUCAUUGAUUUGAUUCUUAAAUGAAAAUGCCUCUGCAAGCAACAUUAACAUACUUGACAGGCGAGGAAGUGUUUCUGUGCUGUAAACAUAAUGAUUGAUAAUCUGUAUUUAAUACAUUUGCUCAUAAAAUAUGAUCAUAUAAUGUUUUAAUUACAAAAUUGUGGUACCAAUGAAACCAGGAUAUCCAAUUCCAAGGUCCAUACCCAGUGUUUGUUUCAUUUAUCUUACCUUUUUGGUCGGAGUCCGUAAAUCUGACCGCUGUUUUGGGACAACAUUGAGAGAGGUGUUUGAUAUUUUGGCAUCUGCCUGGUUAAGGAAAUGGAAAAUUGUAAGGUUAGCUUCAGUACAGUACACCCAAGGCAGUUGCCAAGGGUCUGUUGUACAUUCUCUCUUUUGUGAGCAUUCUGUCAUUGCAGGGAUUGAAUAGUGACAGAAAUGUAAAAAGGAAGAAGAAUGUCCCCAUAUCCCAUUAGAUGUGACUAACUUCCUUUUUUUUUUAGAGAGGAGAUCCAAGACUUCUUGAACUGCAUUGAUGCCAGCCUAGAGGAUCUUCAGACCAUCCUGUGCAAAAGGAAAUUUGAUGUAGACUCUGUUUCAGCAUUGCUAUUAUAAACCUGUUUCUAACAAUGUUUUCCAAUUAUGCCUUUUCCAGUCAUUUUAUUUAUCACAUCCUCCUAAUCUUUCUUAUCUCAUUCCUAAGGCUUCCUGUCUGCAUUAGUACAUGACUGAUGGGGGGUGUUUUCAUUUGCAGCUAAUUCGAGGCAGUUAUAAUUUAUCUGCAAAAGAAUGGCCUGACAGAAUUGACUAGCUCUCUAAAUGGCCUGUUCUGUUUGGGCAUGUGGAUAUAAUCUAAACCGGCAUUGAGAAGUUUCUCAUAAAUAACUAUUUGAGGGGCACAAAUCUUAUAUGCAAGCACCUUAAAGACAUUUAUUUUCU